rnacentral:miRNA from 1 species
CACCAGGCAUUGUGGUCUCC